GAUUUUCAUCAGUGCAUUCAUGUUUAACUGUGUUGAGGUUGGAGCUUUGGGAAGGCCAUUCCAGAAGCUUAAUGUUAGCAUGUUUAUCUUUUCUAAAACCAGAUUGCAUGUGUUUGGGAUCAUUGUCCUGUUGGAACUGUGUCCAAGUUCAAACCAUCUUGCUGUUAAUUAAUAAGUUCUUCGCAUUUCCUCAUCCCAUCAACGUUUUAUAAUGCACAUGUAACCAGUGAAAAUGAAACAACCCCACAGCAUGAUGCUGCCACCAUCAUGCUUGACAACUGAGACAAUGUCCUAAGGUUUGAAACCCUCAUCUUGACUCCCCUCGUCAUACUUCUUAUCAUUGAGGCAGCUCAAUCUCUUUUGACAUGAAACGUUUCUUCUGAAGAUUGUUGGCUUGUCCUUGUGCGCAGCUGCAGAUUUCAAUCCAGCUUUAAAGACAGUUUGGAUCUUCUUCCAGAUCUUGGUGACGCAUCUGAAUACCUUGUACUUAUGUAUAUUUGUUUGAGCUGAAGAUUUUAGAAUCUGCUUUAAAACGUGCAAAUCUGCAACUCAUAAUUUGCAGCUGAGGUCAGAAGAGGUAGAAAACUGCUGAGAUGGUUAAUAUCCAUGCUUUUUAAACAUUUAAUGGGAACAUUUUGUUCUGACACCUGUUCUGUGUGCUGUGUUGCAGCUCCAGCAUGUACAUUACUUUUAUCGCCUGAUGCAGCUCAGCUUUUUCACUGAAGUGGUUCUGCUCUUUUUAUGUAGCAUCUGAGCACACCACAGCUCCAAAUAAACACCACACUUAGACUCACAAACCACAAAGGGCAGCCCUCAGUGGCAGUUGUAGCUGGGCUGCAUGUGGUGGCGAAACGAAGCUGCUUCUUGAUCUGUGAGCGUUCAAGUGUUCGCUUGGUUUUGGUAGGCAGCAACAAAUCACAUCUCCCAGAUUUAGGCUGCACCGCAUCGUUUCCCUUUUUCCUCGCUCUCCCUGCACUAACUCUUUUCCUCCAUCUCUCCCAGAAUAUCUGUUAAUGUUCCCCUCGUUUUCUGUUUUCUGUUUGCUGACUCAACAUCUCCACCAUCCUUUUAAGCCUCCAGACACACACUGAAGCCGCUCAACGUUACACAUUACCACAAUGGUUAUAUUCAAAUGUGCUCCCUCAUGGCUGCGGUCGCCAUCCACGUAAAGUCAGCAGAAGCUCCAGUCGAACACAGCAAGCUACAUCUGAAGUUAAUAAAUCAACAGCAGGUCCAGGGUUUCUACACUGUCUGAGAAGUCUGGAACUUGAUUUCAGUAUUUUUCAGAUCUAGAUAAGUAUGUUGGUAUGGAAAAUGUUUGUAUUUACAUAUUUUAUACCUGUCUAAAUGUCUGUGUACUUCCUUAUGCCCUUUCUUAUUUGUGGCCCUCCUUUUGUCCUUCUCUCCUUCGUUCCCUCCUCCCUUCACCCCUCCCUUAUGUGUUCCUUUCUUCCUUGUGCCCUUACCUCUUUCCCUCCUUGUAUCUUUCUCUCCUUUCCUCUGUUGUUUAAUCCUUGUCCUAACUCUAGUCCUUCUUCAUUUCUCCCAUAAUUUUCUUCCUUUCUUUCCACCCAUGUCGUUUUCAUUCCUACCUUUCUUUAUUUUCCUUAUUCAGGUCUUUCUUUCCUCCCUCCCUUCUUUGUGUCCCCUAUGCUUCAUUUUUCCAUAACUCCCUUCUUUCCUUCAUUUCUUCCUCAUAUGCCACUUACUUCUUUCUGUCCUUGUGUCUUUCCUUCAUUACUUCUGUCAUUCCAUCCUUGUGUCCUACACCCCUUUUUUUGUCCCUUCUUUCUCCAUGGUCUUUCUUUUCUCCCUUGUGUCAUAUUUCCUUCCUUUUUGUCCUAACUCCCUUUUUUAAUCUGUUUCCUUCCUUUGUUCAUUUCUUUCCUUCUUUGUGUCCAUCCUCAUGAUCUGGAGUAGGUCUUUUCAGAUUUCCCCAGGAUUUGUUAAAGGGGCAGGGUUGUGUGCAGUGAGGCAUUGCACCAGCAGAUGCAGUUAUGGCAAAAUUUUAUGCAGAGAGCUCUGCAAGAGGAGACACCACAGUUCCAAGUUUGGAUGCAGUUUUCCAGAAGCUCAAUGAUGCUCUUCACCCUUGUGUCCUGCCAUCCUCUACUCCUCUGCCUACGCAUCUUCUACCUUUUAUAAAUAUUUGUUUAUGAUUAGCCAGUCAAGAUAUUAAUUUCCUGUACUUCCGGACUGAUUAUCAUGUUUUUUUAUUCUAAUAAAUAAUUUGUUUUUUACUAAAAACAUGUUCUUUAGUUUUCUGAUGAGUUUACCUGAUGAUAAUAAAAAAAAAUUGUUGUAUU